rnacentral:rRNA from 1 species
UACGUAGGGUGCGAGCGUUAAUCGGAAUUACUGGGCGUAAAGCGUGCGCAGGUGGUCAUGCAAGACAGAUGUGAAAUCCCCGGGCUUAACCUGGGAACUGCAUUUGUGACUGCACGGCUAGAGUGCGGCAGAGGGGGAUGGAAUUCCGCGUGUAGCAGUGAAAUGCGUAGAUAUGCGGAGGAACACCGAUGGCGAAGGCGAUCCCCUGGGCCUGCACUGACGCUCAUGCACGAAAGCGUGGGGAGCAAACAGG